AGAAAUAUGAAUAGCAUGGCUAGAGUGAAAGCCACAAGAAAUUAUAACUGUGAAAGAGACUUCUCCAAACUUGGUCCUGAGGAUGGCGCCUGCUGGGAUCAUGACUCAUUGCUGCAUCCCUGAGGUCACAGGCAUGGCCACUUUUAAUGCAUAACCAGAGUGAGGAUGAAUGAGUAGGUGUGACCGUGUCUCAACGACAUUCCAAGGCUGUGCCCCGUCGUCUGGUGCUCAGGGGAGGUGAGUCCAGAUACAUCUCAACACCCCUUCAUCACUAGUGUGUUAAACUCCUGCCUUGCUCAUCAGUGAAAUCCUGGUUGCCGAGACCAUGAUACCAUCUGGUGAGUCAAAGGAGCAUUUUUGCAUUUUCUUGCUAUCAUUAAGAAGCAUCUACUCUCGGCAAAAAUUUUCCAGAGGUGUUUGGGAUUUUGGAGGGUAGCUUUUUCUUUUGUUAUAAUUUCAAACUUACAGAAAAGUUUCAGGAAUAGUAUAGGGUACUCCCAUUAUACCCUUUACCUACAUCCACCAAUUAUUUGCAAUUUUCUCUACUUGCUUUAUUAUUGCAUGUUUUAUUUAUUAUUCACAUUGAUUUAUGUGUGUGUCUAUUCCAUAUGCAUAUAUGUUAUUUAUUUUCUGAACCACUGCAAGUAAGUUGGAUAUCGUGCUUAAUCAUCCCUUAAACCGUCAUGUAUUUCCUGAGAACAAGGUCAUCUUCUCAUAUGCCAUUGAACAGUUAUCAAAAUCAGGCAUUUUAACACAUAAUAUUGCUAUCUAUUCAAAUUUCAUCAGUCAUCACAAUAAUGUUCCAGGAUAGCUAUUUUUGUUUGUUUUUUCUGGUCUAGAAUCCUAUUCAGGAUCAUGCAGUGCAUUUAGUUGUUAUGCCUUUUGUUGGUCCCAUCAGUCAAAACCCACAAGGAAUACGUCUGUCAUCAAAUUUGAUAGUUGCUUCAGUUACUGUAUUGGGCCCUGAGAAAAGCAGGUGGGUACUCAGUGCCCUCUGGCUUUGAUAGUGAGUGAAUCUAUGGCUUCACUUUCCAGAAGGUCUUUAGCAUCCACAACGUACGUGCAGUUGGAGAGAGAGCCUUGCUUUUGAGUGUGUUUCUUCCUUUGUGUCCACGCAUCACUUACAGAGCAGCCAAGCCUGCUUUACAGCUGAUGGGGAGGCCAGUCUAAGGGAGCCGGCAUUGGGGGUGGUCAGAGGUUUGCCCUUUCACUCCGGGGUUGCUGGCCACCUUAUUCAACACGAGCCUUUCCAGAGUGACUCACCUUUUGAGUUGAUCCAGUUUGGUGGCAAGGCUUCGAGCUGUGCAUCUGUGCACCCAGCUGCCCCCUCUGCUGUCUGCAGUGGCCCUGGGGGCCAGGAGGCACUCUUAGGGCAGCGUGGCCCUCUUGUGGCAGACAUGUGUAUGUCCUGGGAAAGGAUGGACCAUAAUAGGAGACCGUCAGGAUCAGAAUGCUUGGGAAGUCUACUGGAUUGCUAGGGCUGCCACAACGAAGUUCCACAGACUGGGUGGCUCAAGUGAUAGAAGUCUAUUUUCUCACAAUUCUGGAGGCUGGAAGUCCGAGAUCAAGGUGUCGUCAGGGUGGUUUCUUCUGAGGCCUCUCUCCUUGGCUUGUAGAUGGCUGUCUUUUCCUUGUGUCUUCGCGUGGUUUUCCCUUCUGCUCCUAUCUGUGUCCUAAUCUCCUCUUCUUAUAAGGACACCAGUCACAUUUCAUUAGGACCAAACCACAUGACUUCAUUUUAUCUUAGUUACCUCUUCAAAGGCCCUGUCUCCAAAAUACAGUCACAUUCUGAGGAAUUGGGGGUGAGGACUGCAACAUAUGAAUUUUAGAGGACACAAUUCAGCCCAUAACAAGCAGCAAGAUGGUAGAGAUUCCUUAGCUCAAUUCCAUCUUUUCAGAAAAUGGGUUAACUGAAUUGUUCAAGGCCUCACAGCUAGUAGAAAGCAGGGACCCUUCCACUACCCUUUAUGUCUAUAAAAAGCCCAGAGCGAACUCAGAAUGUAUCUGAACUGAAAGGGAAGGCUUAAACCUCUAGAGUAUGAAAUUGACUAAAAGGUAAACCAUCUAUGCCUAUUUUUUCAGUGGACAAAAGUGUUAAUUAAAAAAUUUUAAAAUGUCAUGUAUUGAAACAACUUGAAAUGGAAAUAAAAAGAUGUGAUG
ensembl:lncRNA